rnacentral:rRNA from 1 species
UACAGAGGGUGCAAGCGUUGCUCGGAAUUAUUGGGCGUAAAGGGUAGGUAGGUGGUCUUAUUUGUCUGGGGUGAAAUCCUUGAGCUUAACUCAAGAAGUGCCCUAGAAACGGUAAGACUAGAGUACUGGAGAGGGUCGUGGAAUUCCCGGUGUAGCGGUGAAAUGCGUAGAGAUCGGGAGGAACACCAGCGGCGAAGGCGGCGACCUGGACAGUGACUGACACUCAACUACGAAAGCGUGGGGAGCAAACAGG